GGAGAGAUGCUCGAGCGGUUGAUGAGGCACGCCUGGAAAGCGUGUAUACUGGAAACAGUAUCGCGGGUUCGAAUCCCGCUUUCUCCG
rnacentral:tRNA from 2 species